rnacentral:misc_RNA from 1 species
GAUGAAGAACGCAGCAAAAUGCGAUAAGUAAUGUGAAUUGCAGAAUUCAGUGAAUCAUCGAAUCUUUGAACGCACAUUGCGCCCGCUGGUAUUCCGGCGGGCAUGCCUGUUCGAGCGUCAUUUCAACCCUCAAGCCCCCGGGUUUGGUGUUGGGGAUCGGCUCUGCCCUUCUGGGCGGUGCCGCCCCCGAAAUACAUUGGCGGUCUCGCUGCAGCCUCCAUUGCGUAGUAGCUAACACCUCGCAACUGGAACGCGGCGCGGCCAUGCCGUAAAACCCCAACUUCUGAAUGUUGACCUCGGAUCAGAUAGGAAUACCCGCUGAACUUAAGCAUAUCAAUAAGCGGAGGA